rnacentral:rRNA from 1 species
AAUGAACGUUGGCGGCGUGGAUUAGGCAUGCAAGUCGUACGGGUCGGUGUAGCAAUACAACGGCAAGUGGCGAAAGGGAGAGUAACACGUAGAUACCUACCCUCUGGUCGGGGAUACCGCGGCAUAACCGCAAGUAAUACCCGAUAAAAUCUCCGGACAAAAGGUGUGAUGCCGCCGGACGAGGGGUCUGUGUUCUAUAAGCUUGUUGGUGAGGUAAUGGCUCACCAAGGCUAAGACGGAUACGGGGUGUGAGAGCAUGCCCCCGCUCACUGGAACUGAGACACUGCCCAGACACCUACGGGUGGCUGCAGUCGAGAAUCUUCGGCAAUGGGCGCAAGCCUGACCGAGCGACGCCGCGUGCGGGAUGAAGGCCUUCGGGUUGUAAACCGCUGUCGAGGGGAAUGAAGUGCAAGUGAGUUAUCUCAUUUGUUUGACAGAUCCCUGGAGGAAGCAUGGGCUAAGUUCGUGCCAGCCGCCGCUGUAAGAC